GUUCCUAGUUGAAAGCCAACAGGACCGUAUGUACUAAGGUAAAAAAAACGUAUUUUUUAAAUGUUUAUAAGAGUAAUUAUGAAAACGAAAUCAAGUUAGACAUUCUGAAUGAUUUAUUUGUAAAUAUUGACCGGCCAAUAUGUAUACGUAUUUACUAUUAAAAAAAUCAGCUUUCGUUUUUGUUAUGUCAGCUAGGUGGUCUAUUGUUAUUGUAUGUAUUUGUGAUAUAAUUGAUAAAAUACAUACUGCAUUCCACAUUUGUGUUUUUACAUUUGGUUAUGUGGGGUGUUUUAUAGCUUAUUUUAUGCUAUGGAUAUUUAAUUGACCAUUUUUGAUGGUGGAUGGUCAGUGUCAAAUAAAAAUUUAUGUUUGUGUUUUUAUUUUAAAUUUAUAAUGUCCUUGUUUUGAUCAGUGUUUAUUCAUCGACUUAAGCCGUGUUCACAUCGACCUGUUGUCUUCGUAUUAUUCACAUGUAAACUAAACACAAUUUCGUUCCCAUUGAUAAAACUCAAUGUUCAUAUCAAAUUUAAAUAAAUUGUUGUCAACAUUCAGUCGAUGGAUAUUGUAGGCCUUGUGUGGUCUACGUGUACACAAAACUGGCUAUAUAGAACAUGAAUUUACCGUGUCUAUUUAAAGAAGAAACGAUUUUUUAAUUUAUUUGAUAUUUAUCGCUUCUGUGUGUGUUGAAUUGUUUUUUUUUUUGUUGUUGUUGCACUUUAGUGUUUCUUUGUUUUCCUUUUCUAUUUUAUGUAUUUCCCGAAAUGUUAGUUUAUGACCCGGAGUUGGUUUCUCUCAAUCGGUUUGUGACUUUCGAAACACCGGUUUACUACUGUUGCCUUUAUUGAAUUGAAUUAUUUACAGUAUAAUUUGUCUUAACUUGAUAUUUUGCUUUUAUUAGAAAAUAAAACCAAAGAUAGCUAGCCUUAUUAACCCGUUAUCAAGACCCAAAGCAUAAUUGUUGCCAAACAUAAUUCAUUUGAAAAGGUCUUCCCUUAUAGACGUCAUUUAAAUGUUUGCCACUGAUCUUUACACAAUAAUUGAUUUACUUAUAUAUUUGUAAAUGCAUUAAUUAAAAGAGUGUGCGGUAAAUUGUUUUGUUUGGCUAGUAUCUCAUAUCCGGUAAAAUGUACUUAGAAUAAAAAAAGCAUUUAUUUGCAAUGUACGAACUAUUAUUUUAAAGCCAAAGUCGUAGUAUGUAUUUUUUUUCUGAAUCAAUUUUUUUUUCGCGCGAACCAUUUAUUCAGUGAAACACAACACUGAAUUACACGUUUGCGGACAAAAAGUUUCGUCUCUAUCAAUCAUUUUUUUUCAGUAUUUGGCAUCUUUAAGGUAUAGGGAAAAUCUAGAUCCUGGAUUUUUUUUCGAAUUGGAGAUCAGAAUAUUUUUUUCAGGCGAAGGAGUUGAAUGGUGGUUUCAUUAAUUCUAGAAAAAUUGUCCAGAAAUUUGCGUUCGACUUUAUGUACUGAUAUUUAAAUGACGUAUAGUUUACAAGUGUAAGCAAAUCUAACGUACAGGUAAUCAACACAGCUGUAUAGAUGUGAACAAGUUUAAUGUGAAACCAGUGUACAUUACAUUCAUUACAUUUAUCCAAUUGUAAAAAAGAAGAUGUUGUAUGAUUGCCAAUGAGACAACUAUCCACAAAAGACCAAAAUGACACAGACAUUAACAACUAUAGGUCACCGUACGGCAUUCCACAAUUAGCAAAGCCCAUACAGCAUAGUCAGCUAUAAAAGGCCCCGAUAAGACAAUGUAAAACAAUUCAAACGACAAAACUAACGGCCUUAUUUAUGUAAAAAAAUGAAAAACAAAUAUGUAACACAUAAACAAAAGACAACCACUGAAUUACAGGCUCCUGACUUGGGACAGGCACAUACAUAAAUAAUGUUGCGGGGUUAAACGUGUUAGUGGGAUCCCAACCCUCCCCUAACCUCGGACAGUGGUAUAACUGUUAACAUGUUUACUGUACAUGGCGUUCGGUGUGAACACGGCCUUAUUCGGGUCACAGUAUUUGUGAUUAAAACUAAAAUAAAAUUAUAAUCAGAAACAAAUAAUUACUGACGGAUCAACGUAGGAACGUAGAGUGCGUAAUAGAAUAAUUUUUUAUGACAUUUUCGUCACCACUACAAACAAUUAUGGCCCGGUCCCCCAUUUUUCUCAAGCCUUUAUCUUCCACCGACAGUGUAUAACAAUGCAUGUUUAUUAACAAUAACAUACAUAUACAAUAUAUGUAUGUUGUCGGAAAAUAUAUAAUUUAUUUGUAUGAGCUUUAGAAAAAGGACGAAAAGCGAGGCUCUGCCGAGCUUUUGUCCUGAAUCGUAGCGAGUACAAAUGUAUUUUAUAUUUGCCGGCAAUGUACAUAUAUUAUUUUAACCUUAAAUUACUCCCAACACUUGAAUCUGUAGUUAUUAAAAUCAAAAUCAUUGUCUUUAAUGUUUCGAAGAAAUCGACAUCGUUGAAACGCUGAUCGCGAAGAGAACCCCAAAAUGAACUGGUUUGAAAACAGAAAUGUUCAUAUUGCCACUUGCUCAGCAUGUAAUUGGGGUCACAUGAGACUUUAUUUGUACAAUUACUAAUAAAGCAAACAUUUAUUUGUAUACCUGUUAUUGUACAAUAGAUGGCUAAUUGCAGGAAAAACAGCGGUAGUGUUGCCAAGGAGAAAACUAUUUGUAAAGGUGUACGGCUCAAAUAUAUUCAUUGAGGACAUAUGAGUUGAGAAGUUAUUUUUGUUUUCCGCAAAUUUUGGAAACCUUUUCAGAACAGUUAUAUGAAACACGUUUUACGCAGACUAAAAUCAUUUGCUAUCGAUCCUGGCCGCUCGAAAUAUUAUUUAAAGAAUUAAUUUAUCAAAAGCCGAACUCCCUGUCGAAUUAAACUCAGAAUCUUGAAUAGCAAACAUGUUUUAAAGGGGAAAUAAGAUACCACUAAAUUGUAAACGCCUUUGAUGUUAACAAUUCUCUUCUUGACUCUAGAGCUUGGCCCGAGUAAAAGUUCACCAGGACUAAUCCAUCUUAAACCUUAGAUCGAAAAUAGGGAGAAAAAUGUUGAGGACAUCAAACAACAAUUCUUUUAUGUCUUGAUGGGGAAAGAUGGACCCACUUUAAAGAGAAAUAAUUAUUAUCGAAGGUUCCACGAAAAUGUUUAGUGGUAAAAAGUGGUAUAAAUCGUAUGAUCCUAAACCUUUGAACUCAUUGACGUGUAGCUUGAUAAGGAUCGAGAUUACUAUUACUAUAAACUUGUUUUGAGAUGAACUUGAAUAUUGAUAUAGCUAUUUUGAGUAUUUUAACAAAUAAGUCUAAAACAAAAACGUUUAAAGCCUGAUAACAAUGCAAAUAGGUCAGACAGAAUACAAAACUAUCAUUACUAAUUAGUAUCAGCAUAAUGUCUAACGAACAACUGAUGCAUGUUAUUUAGUACAUGUAGAUUUUAAUUACUUCUUUAUUUUCGAAUUCAAGGGCACAAAAUGUAACCGUCUCCUUCAUCUACAUAUUGACAAAUAUUUUCAACAAAACAGAGUAAUUAUGGAACUUCUAAAACUUUAAACAAGUUAUUUUGUAGACCGGGAAAGGCGUUCUAAUCAAUUAAUAGCUAUAUUUGCAUAAAUAUUAUUUUGCAGUUUUGUGAUAUGGCCUCAUAUUCCCAAAGUUGUGGUGUGUGUGACCUCCGACACAUCAACAAACCAUGAUCAAUAAUCUGGUGUACGGAAUGUGAUGAAGGGCUUUGUCAAGAUUGUCAGGAACACCAUAGUUUAUCCAAGGGAACCAGAAACCAUAACACCAUAACAAUAAAGGAAUAUAAAACAUUACCAAGUGAAGUACUUAAAAUCACUCAUUACUGUAGCACACACAAUGACAAAUUUAUAAUGUAUUGCAGGACACACGAACGUCCCUGCUGCAGAAAAUGUAUAGUUGAAACUCAUAAAGAAUGCCUGGAUAUCGAUAAUUUAGAAGACGUCAUUCAAAAUGUAAAAACCUCAAAUGCCUUCCACGAUAUUGAAGAAACAUUGGUUGAAGUAGCAGAAAAUUUAAAGAAAAUCAGUCAACAUCAGCAGAAGAAUCUGUUGAAUUUGAAAGAAAAAAGAAAACAAAUUGAAAAAGAAAUUCAAAAGACCCGUAAAACAAUCAACAACCAUCUGGACAAAUUACAAGGAGAUUUGAUAAAACAACUUAAUUCUAUUGAAGAAACCCAGAACUCGAAAAUUUGUCAGUUGUUGUCAUCACUUGAACAGAGAGAAAAAGAAAUAACCAAAUACCAGCAAAACCUUGCAAGCAUUAAACAACACGCCUCAGACCUUCAGAUUUUUCUUUCACUUAAGCAAAUCGAACAAGACAUUAAUAUAAAUGAUAAAUUCCUACAAUCCGUAGUGGAAGGUGAGGAAUUGAAGCAAUGUCAUCUAGAAUAUAGAACCAACAUUGCUAUUCAAGAUAUCAUGUCCAAUAUCAAAAGUUUUGGAGAAGUACAGAUUGAAACUAAACCAUGUGACAUCGUUCUUAGCAGGAAGAAGACUAAACAAGCACAGAUAAUGGUACCAAACGUUCAAACAAGAUCCAUUGAGAAUAUAAAGCUGGAGAUGCACAAAACAGCAGUAGCAACUGAAGGAAGAUACGUCUACGGGUGUUGCCUGAUACCAGAUGGUAGAAUGGCUUUUACUUACUACUAUGAUUGUGCGUGUUAGAGUUUUCAGUGAUAAAGGAUCAAAAGACUUUGAGGUGAAGAUGCCGUGUAAGUAUACGAUAUACUGUAUAUUAGUAAGGACGAUACAUUAGCCGUAACAUCUGGUGGUUCAAGUCAGCAUUGUAUUUUUAUUAUAAACGUGGAAAGAAAACAAAUCACGAGAACAAUUUCACUAGAUUCGGAAAUUUAUGGCAAAGCACUUAGAGAAAAUAUUUUAAUAUAUUCCGGUUAUAACAAAGGAAUCCGAAUGAUCAAUCUUGACGACGAGUCAAUUACUUAAAUAGUUCAAGAUAAAAUGCCAAGAUGCUGUUACAAUGCAAGAUUUCGGAACCAAAUCUAUCACACAAACUCAUACACACAAGCCGUUACUUGUUACGACCAACAAGGUAAACCACAAUGGACAUUCAAAAAUAUAAGCCUUCUGAAGUAUCCUCGUAUUGAUGUAGAUAUUGAUGGUAAUGUGUAUGUGGUAGGGAUGGAUUCGAACAAUGUUGUAGUUAUCUCCCCUGACGGACAACGCCAUAGACAAGUAUGAGCAGCAAGUGAUGGUCUUGAUUCUCCUUAUUCAGUUUGUUUUGACAAUUCAAACAAGCAGUUGCUAGUGACUAACUAUGAAAAUGAGGCACACUUAUAUGCAUUCAUUUGAAAAGAUUUUGGAUAAGCUAUUGUUUAUCAAUUUUGUAUCACAGCUAAACAUUUUCCGAUGAAAUGAUUUGUUUCAUAGACAUUAAUAAUGUUAUGGAAUAUUUUGAUUUUUUAAAUAUGUUUUUGUGAGAUUUUUUAUAAACAAAAUACAUCAAAUAGAACGAUUUUACACGAUCCAUUUUUUGAAAAAGUGUUUAUUUAUAAUUGACAAAGUUGCAAAAUAUUCAGGAUUCGGAAUUUUGUUAAAGAUCUUUUAAAUUUUUAACCUUAUUUGGGCAAGAGAUAUGUUUCCAUAAUGAAAAAUAUCAAUAUUAGCUUAUUAAUGUGUUAAAACUAUAUUUGGAGAUUAAACUUGCAUAUCUUACAUCAGUGUUAUAAUUUACAUUAUGUUAACGAAUUUUUUGUGUUGACAUAUGCACUGUAUGUUCUGAUCAGAAAGUGCAAAAAGAAUUUUGCCCUUUUCCAUUGAUUAUUGUAAAAAAAAUAUCUGAAAAUUUCAACGUCGAAGAAAGGUAUCUGAUUCAUCAAUUUUCAUUCUACAAUCAUUGCAAAAAGUAUGAUACAUAGCAAUCUAUUUAACCUUCUUAUUUAAAGUACCACAGGAAAUGGUUCGUUGGUUAGGUAAAGAGAAGUUUUACAUUCAUAAUCAAUAUUGUGCGCUUGAUUUAUAUAAACCACGUUCAGCUUACUAUACGGUGAAUGUUGUACUCAUAUCUGAAAACCACAGGUUUCCACGUACCUGUUAAUAUAACUGUUUCUUUUGUCUCUGAUAGAAUGCAGUGUCAUUGGCUACUACUUACCCAUUAAUUUCACAUUCAUAACGUUUAAAUAUAAUCAUAAACAUAAUGAAAUGAAAUAUGAUAACCAAUGAAAUAAUUAUUCCCCAGACACCAAAUAACAUGGAUGUUAGAAACUAUACUAAUCACCCUGCUCAUUUAAACAGUGAACACACCGUAUAGUCAGCUAUGAAGGCAGGGAAAUGACAUAAUGUUAACCAAGAAAACCAAUAGUCCGGCCGAUUGGUGCAGAUAGAUAGCAGAAUUGCUCACUUGAUGAGGAAAGCAUGAAACUUUGCAUAGUAGUUUUUGGUUAUGUACCAUUUGAUUUUAGCUAUGGACCCACUCUGAAAAAUCCAAUAUGGCUGCCAUUUUCAAGAUUGCGGAAAAACGGUAUAAAUAUCAAGAUUGUCCUAAAGGUAUUCUAUAUAAUUUUGGAAAUUAAAGUAAUGAUUCUUUAAAAAUGGACUUCAUAUUUUUGAAUUUGUUAUCAAUUAAUUUUAAAAUAUAAAAACAAAAUAAUAAGGUUAUUUCUAUAACACAUACAUUUGCAAAUAUGGCUGCAUAUACUAAAACAAAUAGUGAAAUUCAAAAUGUUAAUCAAUAUUUUACAGGUUAUUGUAAUUGUUCUUUAAACGCUUUCAGUUUUAAUGGUUGGAAUGAAAUAGGUUGAAACUAGUCGAUUGAACGUAAAUAUAGGUCGGUUAAAUGUGGUUGAAUAGUAGGUAACUCAUCUGAAUUUUUAGGUAGUGCCGAGGGCACCUGAAUCGUGUCUCUUCAAUGCCACGUCUUACGUCUCUUAUCGCGUUUUCAUCUACAUCGUAAAACUAUUCUAUGUAAUCAAUAGGUGUACCUUUCUUCAGGCGGAUUAGACGAUUGCCACCAUUUAAAAUGGUUAAGGGGCAACCAUUUCCUUUCCAACUACGUGCGAAACAAAUUUGCAAUUAUUCAGCGAUCAUGGUCCUACAUUGCACUCCUGGUCAGCGCUUUUAUUAGUUUUAAUGGUAACAGUUAUUUUUGAGAUUAGCGGAACUGUGAUGGUUCGUUUUAUGCAAACUUGCUGAGUUGAAAUCUCGUUUCUACUGUUAACAAAUGCCGCAUUUAUCACUUUAGUGUUGAUGGUAAUUGUGGGAGUACUCAGGUUUAUCACUGCAUUCAGUGUGUCCAGAAUAUCUAGCCUAAGUAUAACAUCGUCUGUUAAUGGCUCUUUGCACACAUCCCAUUGUAUGUUUACUCUAUUAAUUCCCAAUAACAAGCUGUUAACCCAAACCACGUAGCGUUACUUUGUCCAAAUCUCCAUUUUCUGCAAGUAUUAAUUUCUCAUUUACUAAUGUUAUCAUUGCAGCACUGUCCACAAUCAUGCUCACAUUCUUGUCAUGUAUAGUACCUCGUACUGCUAAGCUCAUUCAAAUGGUUUGUCUGAUGACAAUAUCGGACGAGGCCGUGGGCCUCUGUUCGAUUUUGUAAUGAGGUGAUGUUUUAUGGCCAAUAGACUUUAGAAUCGUGCGUUGGCCUACUGGCCCGAUCCUUCGCUGUUUAAAGACUCCAUUGUUGGGGUUGCGCUUUGAUAUGGUCCGUAUCCUGGUGAAGGUGACCGUUGUCUGAAAUAACCGGGAUUUCUGCAGUUUGUCCGUGAAGAUGAUAACCGUUGUCUUUAUAGACUAUAUGAUAUCUAGCUUAGUGGGAAGGGGGUGCGAUCGAUGGAUAUUAAGCUAGGAUGUAUUUCUAUCUGGCGAUCUACCGCGAUUGUAUUGCUCAGAAGAUCUUUCACGUGUUUAUUGAUCAGGUGAUCUUCCAUUGAACUGGUGAUCUUCCAUGAUUAUUUGAUAAGAAGAACCGAGGUUAUAUAUUAAUCGGCCAAUCCACGGUUAUGCUGAUUAGUUGAAAGCAUAAUAUCAGCUAGUUUUGUGACAAUUUAUGUCAGGCUAUGCACCUCAUUAUCCAAAUGACUGCUUAUAUUUCCUUUAUCGGUCGGUGAUACUGCGUCAUCAGCAAAGUAGACUUGUCGAUGGUCAUAAUUGGAACUUUUUGAUCCAUAUAUCGCCAUAUGGUUUGCUAUUGAGGUUUUCAAUUGUUUGGACGCCUUGUUUAAUGUUCCUGGGUUCCUGUCUAUUACAUGCCUUGCAGAAUCUUUGUCUUUACAUCCUCGACGGAAUGCUUCAGUUCCAAUCUGGUUUGAUCGUCUUUCUUGUCGAAGCGCUGCUACACAUAUUUUUUCUGUUUUCCCAUUUUCAUUUACCGGCAGUUCGUUCAAAUUGGUAAAUAAACGACUCCCAAGUCAUGGAUCCUCUUCAAUUAUGUUUUUGCAUUUUUGGAAGCUGUAGGCUUCGGCUUCGGUCCCAUGCACCAAUAUUUUCUUGCCAUCGGGUAUAUUCUCUCUCCAAUGAGGAGUCGGAAGAAGAGGUGUUUUCACACUCUUUUAGUUUCCUCUGCCCAUUCCUGGAUCGGUCAGUGGAGUCAGCUUGCUGUUAUGUGAAGCCUGUUAGAGCUCCAGGACCUGACGAGGUUGUCAUAAUUGGAGUGUUAAAUGUGGGAUUUACCAUUGACUCGACGGGGAUGAUACCGUAAGUAGGCACUGCAUUCAGCAUUGGAGAAACUUGAUAGAAUCAACUUGAAGCCAAUUGUUUCUGUAAUGGUGUGCGUAAGAAGACACAAGCCUUUUUCUAGUAUCCUUGAUAAGUAAUAGAGGUUUAUAGUAUGUUCUUAAAUGGAGAUUUUUGUUGAAUAAUUUGAACUGUCUCAUGCAGGGCCAAGGACCUUGACAUAGGACUUUUGACUUAAGGUGAAGAAACCUUCAAUCCACUAGCCCAGUAGUCAGCACUUCGGUGUUGACAUGAAUAUCAAUUAUGUGGUUAUUUUUAUAAAUUUUCCGUUUACAAAACUUUGAUUUUAUCGAAAAACUAAGGAUUUUCUUAUCCAAGGAAUAGAUUACUUUAGCCGUAUUUGAUACAACUUUUUGGAAUUUUGGAUUCUCAUGGCUCUUCAACUUCGUACGUGUUUGGCUUGAUACAUAUUUUGAUAUGACCGUCACUGAUGAAUCUUAUGUAGACGAAACGCGCGUCUGGCGUACAAAAUUAUAAUCCUGGUACCUUUGAUAACUACUAACAACUUCAACAGAGUUGGUGCGGUUGAUGGUUCAUGUGAACUACAAUAAGGGAAAAACCAAACGCAUGGAUUUUGUUGUGUAUUUUUGGUAAACUUGCGUUGUACUGGCUAAGGUCAAAUUUUGGCUUAGAUGAUGUGUCCAUUGCAGGAAGUUUAACUUCUUUAUUUCGAUUGUCCACUUAUUCAUUUACAACCGAUGCCAGUUGUUGGAAAGUAUCCUGUUGUUCAAAUGCACUUUUAAAUUGAACUGUGUCUCUUUCUUCAGUUGUUGUCCAUUCGUCUCACCGCAACAUUGAAUAUCUUAUUGGUAUGGCCAUCAAUUCCGCCAGGCAAUUAUUACUAGCCUUGUGGUCUAACCUGUCUUAAGACUGCUGAAUUUGCUGAGAUAUUGCUCUCAUCUGUUCGUAAUUAAUAUUUAUUGCUUCUUUCUGUUCAGCUUGAAACGUAAUGAGACCAACACAUAUUUUAUCAAUUCGCACUUCGCUCUGUUUUAUAUUGCAGUAAAUCUCAGCUGUUCUUUGAGCAUUAGAUUUACUAUCUGCUAGAAAUUCUUAGUAUAAUUGUUUAAUAGUCAUUUCUGAGCUGUCUUCUGUUAAAGCGUCUUCAGCUGUGGGUUUCGCCAUAUCCCAAAGUGAUUCAGUUUCUGCCAUUUCAAUGUUCUUGUCCUUGUUGUCGUCAAUUCCUGCCAUUUCACUGAUAUGUGUUUAAAUGAUUCUCAAUUCAGUUUAAUAUCUCAAAUUGCAAAAUAUUGCGACCCAGAAAUACGAUAGGCACUGCAUAAUAUCUUAACGCAAAUAAAUCCCAAAUCACAGCUUUUAUGUGUGACCCAAGAUAACAAAUAGUGCAACUUUUAAUGAAAGCUACUACUGCAGCCUUUUAUGAAAGCUACUACUGCAGCUUUUUAUGAAAGCUACUACUUUGUGUAUGAAAUGAAAAGCAAGGCAAAAUCAAAAAGGACAGAACUGGGACAUAUACUAAAUGACACUAUACGUCAAUAAAAUGCUUAUAUUCAGGUCAAUUCUCAAUAAUGAAUAUUUGCUUAUUUUUCAAGGCGGCUAUUUUGAAAAUAGCCGCCAUUUUGUAUUUCAAAGAUAGAUCAAAACAAAAUCUUUCUAAGAAUACCAAGUCAUUCAAAUAUGUUGAUUUUAGUGCGUUCAGCAUCAAAUCCACUGUGGUUUGUGCAAUACUAUAAAAUAUUUUAGAACGUACGGCAGCCAUCUUGAAAUAAGCCGCCAUAUUGAAUUUUGAGGGUGGGUCCAUAGCUUAUACUGCUCAGUCCAAAAAAAUGUGCCAUCAUGCAAAAAUUGGUGCUUUCCUCAUUAUUUGAGCAAUUUUUUCACCGAUCAGCCGGACUACAACGGUCUUCUGAAAGGUAAAAUAAUAAACGAAAAACAAAUAUGUUACACCAACCAACGACAACCACAAAUAAAUAGAGGCUACUGAUUAUUGACAGGUACAUAAAAAAAAUGUGACAGGAAUACUUUGUUAGCGUUCAAUUGUUCCCUAUCAGCGGUGGAACAGCACGUGUGACUCAACUUUAAAGAUGAUAGACUCUUUAAGAAAACAAUGACAAUAAAACAAGAAAACACAAACUUUAAAAUACAUUUUAUAUAUUUUAUCACCAUACUGAAUAUUAUUUGCUGUUGGGUCAAAAAAUAAAUCCAAAGAACGAUGCCUGUGAUUCCAGCUCAUAAGGAACAUACUUCAAUAGUUUUAUCUUUCAUAACAUGCCAUAUGCCAUAAUUAGCAUGAGAUAAACACAAUGAAGUCCAAAAAAUGUCUAUCCAGACUGAGAUUUGUCCAUACUUGUUUUGGAAUAAAACAUAUUACAAGUAUUAGAUUAUUAAACCAUUACAAAACACAGUGUUUUUUCCCAAGUCAACAUAUUUAAAACAGCUUAGAUUAACGAAUUUUGUAAAGAGUUUUCCCUUCAGUGAAGACAUUCAAUAUAUCAGUAUCUGUAUUUAACUAAAUUUAACUAGUAAAACAAAUAUGAGACUUUCUUGAUUUUCAAUGCUGACAAAACAUUAUACAGCGCACAUAAACGAAAAACAAGGGCUCUCAAAAAUAGAAUAAAAUAACUUUUUCAACACAUUUAUUUAAAACUCUAAAGUAUUAGAUCACUUACACAAUUCGUUUGUAAAAUAUAAAUGCUAUAUGUGCUCUUAUAUCAUAAAGUUUGGUUUGUAUAAUAAGACAAAAAGAGAUGAUAUUGUAAUUGAUUAUAUUUAUAAUUAAAUGCAAAUUUAAAUAUUCCCGCCAGAUAAAAGUUUUUAUAACGAUCACGUGACCAAUUACCAUCCUAGUUGAAAUACCAUCCGGUGCGUAUUUACUAAGGUAACAAACAUAUUUUCUUAAUGUGUAUAUGAAUAAUUAUGCAAGCAAAUGCAAGUAGACAUUUAAAAUGAUUUAUUUGUAAAUAUUGACAGGCCUACAUGUACGUAUUUACCUUUGAAAAUAUCUACUUUCGUUUAAUGUCAGCUAGCUGUGUUGUUAUGUAUUUAUUUUGUUUUUCUGUCGUAUUUGGGAUACAAUUGAAAAAAUGACAUACUUUUGUGUCGUUUUACAUUUGGUCAUGUUGGUUCUAUUGUAGAUUACUUCAUGAUAUGGAUUUUUACAUUGUUGCAUACAAUACGAUGACGCGUAUGUCAUGUGAUAUCUUGUGGAUCAAUAAUAACUUCAUAUUUUUGUUUUUAUUUUUACAUUGAUAGUUUCUUUGUUUAUGUCUUAUUCAAGUGACAAUUUUUAUUUUUGUUUGUCGUUAAAAAGAUAUCUUCACCAGGAACACUGGAAGCUAGUAAGUGUAAAUGUACAUAAACAAGUACGAGAAAUAUGGUUCAAAGGGACAUAAUUAAGCCAAAUCCAUCAAAUAUAUUAUGGGCCAUAUAAUAUUCGAGUUUGGCAUCUUAUAGUCAUUAUGAUUUAGAAAGAAGGUAUGAACGAAGUUGACAUUGCAACAAUUAUUAUAAUUAUUCCAGACUAUGAAAACAAUGUUGAUUAAAUAAAUAAAUGAACAGGUUAAUAUAAGCUGGACACUUAAGUGCAGAAAGGAUCCUCUGGUUUUAUAAAUACUUCAACUUAUUAAACAAAUGCACUUUACAUAUUUAUGAUAUAGUUCUUGAAAAACAUAUGUGAACAAAGGAUUUAUACAAAAAUAUGUUUUACACAAAUUAACAUUUUAUUUAAUACAAUUUGUUACAAAAAUCAUUUUGGUAGAUGUCCCUGUUCCACUCUAAAUACUUUGGAAAAUAUCUCUACAAACUAUAGACUGUUUCAGGAUUUUUAAAGAUUGUUUUUAACAAAGAAGUUUACAACCUGAUAACAAUGCAAAUAGGUCAGACAGAAUACAAAACUAUCAUUACUAAUAAGUAUAAGCCAAAUGUCUAACAAACAAUUGUUGCAUGCUAUUUACUACAUGUAGGUUUUAAUUACUUUUUUAUUUUCAAGUUCAAGUGCACAAAAUGUUACCGCCUCCUUUAUCUACAUAUUGACAAAUAUUUUCAACAAAACAAAAUAAUUUGGGAACUUGUAUAUCUUUAAAAAAAGUUAUAUUGUAGACCGGGGAAGUUCUUCUGAACAAUAGCCUUAAUUAUAUUUGAUUUGAUAUUAUCUUGCAGUUUUGUGAUAUGGCCUCAUCCUCCCAAAGUUGUGGUGUGUGUGACCUCCGACACAAACAACAACCAUCAUAAUCUGGUGUACGGAAUGUGAUGAAGGACUUUGUCAAGAUUGUCAGGAACACCAUAGUUUAUCCAAGGGAACCAGAAACCAUAACACCAUAACAAUAAAGGAAUAUAAAACAUUACCAAGUGAAGUACUUAAAAUCUCUCAAUACUGUAGCACACACAAUGACAAAUUUAUAAUGUAUUGCCGGAAACACGAACGUCCCUGCUGCAGAAACUGUAUAGUGGAAACUCAUAAAGAAUGCCCGGAUAUCGAUAAAUUAGAAGACGUCAUUCAAAAUGUAAAAACCUCAAAUGCCUUCGACGAUAUUGAAGAAACAUUGGUUGAAGUAGCAGAAAAUUUAAAGAAAAUCAGUCAACACCAGCAGAAGAAUCUGUUGAAUUUAAAAGAAAAAAGAAAACAAAUUGAAAAAGAAAUUCAAAAGACCCGUACAACAAUCAACAACCUUCUGGAAAAAUUACAAGGAGAUUUGAUAAAACAACUUUAUUCUAUUGAAGAAACCCAGAACUCGAAAAUGUGUCAGUUGUUGUCAUCACUUGAACAGAGAGAAAAAGAAAUAACCAAAUACCAGCAAAACCUUGCAAGCAUUAAACAACACGCCUCAGACCUUCAGAUUUUUCUUUCACUUAAGCAAAUCGAACAAGACAUUAAUAUAAAUGAUAAAUUCCUACAAUCCGUAGUGGAAGGUGGGCAAAUGAAGCAAUCUCAUCUAGAAUAUAGAGCCAACAUGGCUAUUCAAGACUUCAUGUCAAAUAUCAAAAGUUUUGGAGAAGUACAUAUCGAAAGUAAGCCAUGUGACAUCGUUCUUAGCAGGAAGAAGACCAAACAAGCACAGAUAAUGGUACCAACCGUUCAAACAAGAUUCAUUGAGAACAUAAAACUGAAGAAAAACAAGACAAUAACAACUGAAGGACAAAGCGUCUACGGGUGUUGCAUAAUACCAGAUGGUAGAAUGGCGUUUACUUAUUUCUUUGAUUUGGCAGUUAGAGUAUUCAGUGAUACAGGAACAAAAGACUUUGAGGUGAAGAUGCCGUAUUACGUAUACGAUAUACUGUAUAUUAGUAAGGACAAUACAUUAGCCGUAACAUCUGGUGGUUCAAGUCAGCAUUGUAUUUUUAUUAUAAACGUGGAAAGAAAACAAAUCACGAAAACAAUUACACUCGACUCGUAUAUUUAUGGCAUAGCACUUAGAGAAAAUAAUUUAAUAUAUACUAGGAAAAUAUUUAAUACAUUACGGUUAUAACAAAGGAAUCCGAAUGAUCAAUCUUUCCGAUGAGUCAAUUACUCAAAUAGUCCAAGAUAAAAUGCCAGAUUGUUGUUACAUUGCAACAUUUCGGAACCAAAUAUAUCACACAAACUCGGAAACACAUGCCGUUACUUGUUACGAUCAACAAGGUAAACCACAAUGGACAUUCAAAAAUGGCAGCGUUCUGAAGAAUCCUCGUGGUAUUGAUGUAGAUAUUGAUGGUAAUGUGUACGUGGCGGGGUUCAAGUCGAACAAUGUUGUAGUUAUCUCCUUUGAUGGACAACGCUAUAGAGAAGUGUUAGCAGCAAGUGAUGGGCUUGAUCUUCCUAUUUCACUUUGUUUUAACAAUUCAAAGCAGCAGUUGCUAGUGACUAACUGGAAUAAUGAGGCCCGGCUGUAUGCUUUGAUUUGAAAAGAUUUUUUAAUUAUGUAUUAUCUUUAAUUUUGUAUCGUCACAGCUACACAUUUUUCGAUGAAAUGAUUAGUUUGAGAGUUGACAUAAAUUAUGUUAUGGAAUCAUCUUUAUGUUUUUAAUGUUUUUAUUAGAUUUUU
rnacentral:lncRNA from 1 species